rnacentral:rRNA from 1 species
CUACGGGGCGCACCAGUGGGGAAUCUUAGACAAUGGGGGAAACCCUGAUCUAGCCAUGCCGCGUGAGCGACGACGGCCCUCGGGUUGUAAAGCUCUUUCAGCAGGGAAGAUAAUGACGGUACCUGCAGAAGAAGUCCCGGCUAACUCCGUGCCAGCAGCCGCGGUGAAUACGGAGGGGACUAGCGUUGUUCGGAAUUACUGGGCGUAAAGCGCGCGUAGGCGGAUUGUUAGGUCGGGGGUGAAAUCCCGGGGCUCAACCCCGGAACUGCCCUCGAUACUGGCAGUCUUGAGUUCGAGAGAGGUGAGUGGAAUUCCGGGUGUAGAGGUGAAAUUCGUAGAUAUUCGGAGGAACACCAGUGGCGAAGGCGGCUCACUGGCUCGAUACUGACGCUGAGGUGCGAAAGCGUGGGGAGCAAACAGGAUUAGAUACCCUUGUAGUC